rnacentral:rRNA from 1 species
CACGUAGGGGGCAAGCGUUGUCCGGAAUCAUUGGGCGUAAAGAGCUCGUAGGCGGCUCAGUAAGUCGGGUGUGAAACCCCCAGGCUCAACCUGGGGACGCCACCCGAUACUGCUGUGGCUAGAGUCCAGUAGGGGAGUGUGGAAUUCCCGGUGUAGCGGUGAAAUGCGCAGAUAUCGGGAGGAACACCAGCGGCGAAGGCGGGUCUCUGGGCCGAUACUGACGCUGAGGAGCGAAAGCGUGGGGAGCGAACAGG